CCGACCUUAGCUCAGCUGGAAGAGCACAAGACUGUAAUGGCUGACUAAGCAUAUCUUGGGGUCGCCUGUUCGAGCCAGGCAGGUCGGA